rnacentral:lncRNA from 1 species
GAAAGGGGAAGCCUGGCACACUGUUGACAGGAAUGUAAUUACCGUAGUCAUUAUAGGAAAUCCUAUACAAGUUCUUUGAAAAAGUAAAACUGUAAUUAGUUCCAGCGAUCCCAUCAAGUACAUACCCAAAGGAAAGGAAAUCAGUACGUCCAGAGAUAUCUGCACUUCCAUGUCUAUGGCUGCACUGUUCGUAACAGCCAAGAAAUGGACCUGACCUGAGUGUAAAGAAAACAUGGGUGAAAAUACUGAACAGAUGACACGCAUGGCGUCUAAAAGAACCACCCCAGAGUUUGAAGCUUCGACAUCCUGUUGCAUCAGGGCUUGUGUC